rnacentral:rRNA from 1 species
AUGGCCGACGCCCGCCUCCUUGUCGGCAACUGCGUGGCCGAGCACGAAUUCAAGGCGGCCGACACUUGGGACAACGUCUGUGUGGAGGUCAUCCCGGGGAAGCGGCGCAUAGACCUGUACCUGAAUCAUGAUUCCCAGAGGUACAUGCUUGAGGUGUUCUUCGAGGACAUCAGGGAUUGUCUCCAGUGCAGCUUCGAUGGGACCGGUGUCAUAUUGCUUCAGCUCAUGUAUGCACCAAGGAUAUGCACAAUAGUUUCUGGGCCUGCAGUUUAUUCAAGGUUCUCAGAUGACCGCUUUCAUGCAUGCAAGGAGGAUGCAAAAUUUACCUGGGUCAGAGCACUAGAUUUUACACCCAACCACUCUUUUGGGAAGUGUUCAACUCUUGCCCUCGUACUUGAUGAAGGUGCACCGGUGUCAUUUAUUCUCAACAGCUUGCCUUUGUCAGGAGAAUUAGGGGAAUUGGUCAUUUCUUCAAUGGAAUUUUUUGGCCCGUCGUCCAAAGUCGUUCCCCUUGUUGACUGCCCAAGUGGUUGUUCAGUGUCAUAUGAAGUUCUUUUUCGUCUCAAUUCUCUUGUUCACAUGGGGAAGAUAGUUGCCAAGGAUGUUAAUGCUGAUCUGUUUAAAGCUCUUGAAGAAAUACCAGUUCAUAUUUCAAGGAGGAUUUUUGAGAAAAUGAGCAAGUUAGACUUUACAUACUAUGAACCUUUGCAAUUCAUCCAACAGGAGGCUCAUAGCAGGAAGAGGAGCCAUGAUGGUUUGCUUUCUAGUAAGACUGAAGGUGAAGGAAAGUUAAUGAUGUGUUACAGAAUUCACAUCACUCCAUCCAAAAUAUACUGCUUGGGACCUGAGGAAGAAGUAUCAAAUUAUGUGGUUAAGCAUCACAAACAGUAUGCUUCUGACUUUGCUAGAGUUACUUUUGUAGACGAAGACUGGAGUAAGCUUUUUCCAGAUGCUAUCUCAGCUAGAACUGGACGAGGGUUCUUUUCUCAACCCUUGAAAACUGGCCUAUAUCAUCGUAUUUUAUCCAUCCUGAAAGAAGGAUUUUCCAUUGGUCCAAAGAAGUAUGAAUUCCUGGCCUUCUCAGCAAGUUAG